rnacentral:rRNA from 1 species
CACGUAGGGGGCUAGCGUUAUCCGGAAUUACUGGGCGUAAAGGGUGCGUAGGCGGCCUUUCAAGCCAGAAGUGAAAGGCUACGGCUCAACCGUAGUAAGCUUUUGGAACUGUAAGACUUGAGUGCAGGAGAGGAGAGUGGAAUUCCUAGUGUAGCGGUGAAAUGCGUAGAUAUUAGGAGGAACACCAGUAGCGAAGGCGGCUCUCUGGACUGUAACUGACGCUGAGGCACGAAAGCGUGGGGAGCAAACAGGAUUAGAUACCCCGGUAGUCCCUGAG